UCCUACGGGAGGCAGCAGUGGGGAAUAUUGCACAAUGGGCGGAAGCCUGAUGCAGCGACGCCGGUGAGGGAUGACGGCCUUCGGGUUGUAAACCUCUUUCAGCAGGGACGAAGCGUAAGUGACGGUACCUGCACGAAGAAGCGCCGGCCAACUACGUGCCAGCAGCCGCGGUAAGACGUAGGGCGCGAGCGUUGUCCGGAUUUGUUGGGCGUAAAGAGCUCGUAGGCGGCUUGUCGCGUCGACUGUGAAAACCCGCAGCUCAACUGCGGGCCUCCAGUCGAUACGGGCAGGCUGGAGUUCGGUAGGGGAGACUGGAAUUCCCUGGUGUAGCGGUGGAAUGCGCAGA
rnacentral:rRNA from 1 species